CAAACUCUGCUUUUUUGAAGGGCCCCCUGCACAAGCGAUAUGAGACUGCCUGCCUUGUGUGAGCCUUGGAUGAGCCCUGCAGCUCCUUCGAGAUGCUCCUUGGAUAUUCCUGAUGGAGAAGACCAACCCCGAGGAAGCUUGGUCCUGCUUGCGAUGAGCUUGCUGUGCUUUCACGGACACCCUUCGUUUCUUCUACCAGUUUUCAGUGCCAGGGUGCGCUUGAAAGGAGAGCUGAUGCCAGGGCUAUAGCCUUCCCCAGCCAGAGCAUGUGGGCCAAACCCUUUCUGGAUGGCUAGGCAGUGGGGAGAAGCCAUGAGAUGGUUGAGAAGUAGUCACAACUCCCCUGGGGACAGACUGGUUUUCAGGGUUACAUCCAUUCAAAAACACCCCCCGGAAUUCAGGCUUGUGAAAGACAAGCUAACUUGACCCUGUUCCUUUGUUCUCACUGAGGUCCUGUCCCUGGCAUCCCCUUCCUCCUGUGGACACCACUGAGGUGCAGACACUACCCCGAUGGGGCUUCCCGUCCUGCUGUUCGGCUCUGGAAGAGACUUGAUUCCUUUUCUUUUUGUGCUGGUGGAGAUCACACACAAAAGGUAAGAUGAACCCAGCUGUUUGGGAUUCUGGAAGAAGGAGGUUGGCCUGUAUCCCUGCUGUAAGGGAAGAUGCUGUUCUUGGGCGUCUCCCUUUCAGGGAUGAUGCCGGUGGCGGACAGGAAGCCCAGCUCCUGCCGCCUGGAUGACUCUUCCCUUGGUGGGGACCAAUCCUGGAUGGAAUCAGUUCAAGAUGGAUGCCAGCUUCAUACAAGAGCCCUAUCAGGAUUGGCCUGAGGUCUGUAAGAGUAUAUUUGGCCCAGAGAGAAGUGCUAUCAGCUACUAAAAGUGAAUACUAAAUGGCCUAUCUAUGUCAGAGGGAAGCCCAAAGCCCAGGAAGAAAUGAUGGACCAGAAACAACAGGACAUGCUCGUAAGGUCACAGGCUUCUUUGUUCCAGACUCUCAGCACCCAGGCUACCCUAGUGAGGUCCCCAGAAUUGAAUGCACGUUAAUCCCCCUGCCUCAGACUUUGGGAAUAGGCUAUUCUGAGCUUAGAGUUCUUCCAAAAGAACAAUUUUCUCCUGAAGUAUCUAUUCAGCACCCCUCCCCCACCCACCCAACCCCUGCCCAAAUCUAUGGUUAGCUUUCUUGAUGCUGAGUCCUAUAAGGGAAUAUUGAUCUUAUUGAGGAAGGGCUAUUGACCUCAGCCAAUUCAGGGACAGUUGUUCACUUGGCUAGAGGGAAAAACAAGGUGUGUAGCCAAUUCUCCUAACAUUUGCUCCUCAAUCCAUUCUUAGGAAGACUUGCUGCAUGGUGGAUGGCCCAGAGACGGCGGGGCUCACAGAUGGUCACGUUUAGUGCUUGCAGAUUGGUAAUGCCUGUGCCCUUGGCUUUGUUUAUUCUGGUCAACCAGUUGUCAGUGCUGCCAUCGAGGGCUUUCUGGACAGCAUGGCACCUUCCGUAAGGAGACCUUGGCUUCAGUAGCUAGUCCAGAGGACUUCUGACCUACAGCAAGUGGGCUCCCUUCUCAUCUUGAAAACCUUCCAGUGUGAACUCUAGAACCAAGGAAGACAGAGAAAGGGGACAAUGUCAGCAUCGUUGCAAGGGAGUACCAAAUGCUACCUCUAAGGAUUUCCUGGACAUGAUGGCAACUUGCAGAAAGAUGGCGGUUCAGUCAAGCUGGUAGAGAAGCCAAGUAUGGAUGUUUGGCCACGGACAGUGUGCUUGAGCUAGCUGUAAGUCACCUGGUCGGGUUACCUGAGCAUCUGAUCCACCUGUAGGCCUCUCAUCAGUGGGCCGUGCCAACCUUGGUGAGGCAGCUGUGGCUCUGCCCCCAAGUAUCAGCUUACAAGACUUUGAAAAGAGGUCAUCUUCCGGAAGAGAUGUUGGUGCCAGCACCAUUCAGGGUGUGUGACUGGUUGACCAGAGGGGCGUGCACUCUGUUCACCCUGUGGGCCACCUAGUCACCAACCCUCAGCAUCAAUUCCACUCAAAGAAGACUUUCCAGAGAUCCUACCAAGUUUGGGGAUAUGUCAAUGGACUUGAUGGCUGUGCCUGCUCAGUGGACCAGGAUGAACUGUGGUCUUAGGGGUGUAUGUUUACAUAAGAUGCCAUGAGGCAUCCGUGGUAGCUGCUGCAUCACUGUCACAGCCUCCUUGAAAUGUUGACUUCAGAUGUGGACAUGAUGUUGACUUCCCAUGAGGGACCUGAAGUCCCUUCUCUCCUGGGAGAGUCUGUGAGAUGAUACCAACCUCUAGAAGCAGGCAUGGUUGUCCCGACAUCGCCACACUACCACAGGAGCUUCCAGAAUACAUUCUCUUCAUGGAAACUGUGGAACCGUGCCCCCUCUGGUCCAGGAGGACUAACCAGAUUCAAGGCUAUCACCAUCCCCCUUCAGGACAGUGGAAGCAGCCACCUUUUCGAGAGAGUCGAUGUGUUCUUCACCAGUGUUCUUCGCCAGUGAUCAUGUGUGAUACUUGGAGAGAGGCUGGCCGUGAUGAAUUCGAUUCAUCUAAACGAGUCAUACACGGCUCUCCUCUCUUCUAGUGUCAAACUCUGCCUCAGAGGUCUUCUCAAGCCACUAUUGUUCCCAAGGAUGCCUAAUUGCAAUGCCAGCUUCUGGGGUGAACAUGGACCCACUGUCAUCGGGCAAGGUCUAGGAUGGACAUGGAGACCCACCAUCUGGGAGAUUCCAGAGUGGACGUGAACCCACCAUCAUCAGGCAGCUUCAUGGAGUAUUCAGAAGCUGGCGGGUGUCACCUGGAGGAUGUGACUGGGUACCAGUGCCAGAGCACGUGCCCACUGAGCAGUCUUCUUCACUUUCCUCGAUCCUCAUGAAACAUUCCGGGAUCUUUACCUCAAAGGACUCCAGAGGCUACAUCAUUGUCUUGGAACUGGUCAGUGGCUGGAGCUCUCUCCAGGACAAGUGCUUGGAGGAAGAACCUGGACAAGCUUCCCUCCCCAUACUGUUGACUGGAUCUUGUAGCUACCGUUAGCCACCAUCAUCGCCAUUGUGUGCCUCUUAGGAGCAUUUCCAGGAGGUGAUGCCAGCUGGGGAAAGAGCCUCUGUCCCACAGGACAGCUUCAGGUGGUGAUUCCAGCUCCAGGGUUGCUGCGGUCAACACUGGGUACUUGAGGAGAGGUUGUCUGUGAUGAGUUCGCUUUAUUAAUGACGAAUAUAACACAGAUGGCCUGUUUUCAAUACCACCUGCCACUCCGGUCACUCGGCAGUACAUACCAGGUGUCACACCACUGCCCGGUAGGUGACAACGCUGAAUUGGUCCUCAGGAGCGAAUUGGUCCUCAGGAGCGGAUGUUCAAGGAACCCUGCCUAUGCACCAUGCUAGCUGCCAGUCCUAGGUUGGGACAUUCCACUGGGGACAUCCAUGGGAGAGCUAUGGCCAUUAACAAGUCCUGAGCCCUGACCUGAAGCCAUCAGUGGCCUAGCUGCUCUACCUGACUUUGUGGCCUCCCUUCCUGGAUCUCUCGCUUACGACAACCGACAACAAAGAUGUUUGACUCCAGAAGAUGCUCCCCGCGGCCCACCUGAGAGGACUGUCCACACCCCACCCCACUGCGCCCUGUGCCAUCUACCUCUGAGUCCCCAACUUCUCACCCAUGUUUCAACUCCCACCCCAGAGCCUUGUAUUCCAGAUCUGAGCAGCCCUUGCUUAGGAACCUGAGGUGGGGGGUGGGUAGGCAGACCCAGGGGACUGAGCAGGGAGGGGAAGGAGGGGUUUCUGCUCUUGGCUUUCAAAGUUCUCAGUGUGUGUAGCCCUUUGAAUAAUAAACAUAUGUCAUAUAAUGUAAA
ensembl:lincRNA Mirg miRNA containing gene